CCGGCGCACGGGUGAGUAACGCGUAUGUAAUCUACCUGUAACAGAGGGAUAACCCGGAGAAAUCCGGACUAAUACCUCAUAGCACAUAUUAUUCGCAUGAAUUUUAUGUUAAAGAGACUCGGUUACAGAUGAACAUGCGUUCCAUUAGCUAGUUGGCGGGGUUACGGCCCACCAAGGCAACGAUGGAUAGGGGUUCUGAGAGGAAGGUCCCCCACACUGGUACUGAGACACGGACCAG
rnacentral:rRNA from 1 species